rnacentral:tRNA from 1 species
GCGCUUAUAGCUCAGCUGGAUAGAGCACUUGGCUACGAACUAAGGGGUCGGGAGUUCGAAUCUCUCUAAGCGCGCCA